rnacentral:rRNA from 1 species
UACGGAGGGGACUAGCGUUGUUCGGAAUUACUGGGCGUAAAGCGCACGUAGGCGGAUUUGUAAGUCAGGGGUGAAAUCCCGGGGCUCAACCUCGGAACUGCCUUUGAUACUGCAAAUCUCGAGUCCGGAAGAGGUGAGUGGAAUUCCUAGUGUAGAGGUGAAAUUCGUAGAUAUCGGGAGGAACACCUGUGGCGAAGGCGGCCCCCUGGUUGGAUACUGACGCUGAGGUGCGAAAGCGUGGGGAGCAAACAGG